UGAAAAACACUCAACUAAACAAAAGAGAAUACUAAUUUUUUAAAUCAUGUCAUCACAAAAGAAAAAGAAUGAAUGUGUGGAUGAAGCCUGCCUGAAUCCCUGAAUAAAAUAAUUUUAAGGAUGAAAUUACAUGCAUGAAUUAAGAGUAGAAAAUUCUUUGCCAUUUAAUUAAACAAAUCUCUAAUUCUUCUCAUCAGGAUAAAACUGAAGGACAAUGGAUGCCUUUUGGGAAUUGGAGUUUAUCUGUUCUCUUUUUAAGGCAUAUAAUUAUUGUUCUAGACAAUCCUAAUCUACUGAUAAAGUUUAGAUGUGUACUUUAAUAAAACUGAAAAUCAAAGAAAUUUUUCAUUUCACAAAAACAUUCUUCACUUUCAAAAUAGCUUGUUAAAUAGCAAGUU
rnacentral:lncRNA from 1 species